UCCCACAUGUCACGACCCUAGUUCACCAAUUGUGAACCUGUCAUGAAGACGCCUAAUUUUCGAGACUGGGUAAGCCUAACACAUUGCGAAAUUAGCACUUCUUACUAAAAAUAAUAGUAGAAUACCGAAUAACAUAAAGGAAAUGUAAAAAUUUACCGCCUGGAACAUACACUUUGAUGUAGAACACUAAUUAACCACCAAGACCCGGAAACCCACGUGCAAC
rnacentral:lncRNA from 1 species